CUCCCGCAAAUUCAGAACGCCUUGACGUGGCGCGGGGGCUUUGAACUAAGAUUCUG
rnacentral:ribozyme from 1 species